UGGGGAAUCUUGGACAAUGGGCGAAAGCCUGAUCCAGCCAUUCCGCGUGGAUGAUGAAGGCCUUAGGGUUGUAAAAUCCUUUCAGCGGGGAAGAUAAUGACGGUACCCGCAGAAGAAGCCCCGGCUAACUCCGUGCCAGCAGCCGCGGUAAUACGGAGGGGGCUAGCGUUGUUCGGAAUUACUGGGCGUAAAGCGCGCGUAGGCGGAUCAGCCAGUCAGAGGUGAAAGCCCAGGGCUCAACCCUGGAACUGCCUUUGAUACUGUUGAUCUGGAGUUCGGUAGAGGUGUGUGGAAUUCCGAGUGUAGAGGUGAAAUUCGUAGAUAUUCGGAGGAACACCAGAGGCGAAGGCGACACACUGGACCGAUACUGACGCUGAGGUGCGAAAGCGUGGGGAGCAAACA
rnacentral:rRNA from 1 species